AUCUCACCAUACUUUCCAUCUCUUUCUUAGCUCUUAUUGAAGGUUCUUCCUUUACUUCUCAAUCUCUUUCUCCUCUCAGUCUCUCUAUAAUCCCCUCUGUCUAUCACUCUCCCCCAUGUCUCUCUUUAUUCGGUCCCAGAUCUGAGACCAGUGUAGAAGCUUGUUACUGAGGUUCACUGAUAUCUGUCUCCUAUUUCUCCUGAUCUCAGACCAGUCCCUGGGCCCCUCUCCUCCCUACUGCACCUGAGGAACAACAGACAGAGACAGCCCCUGGCUGCCUCCAUGCCUGGCACCCUGCCAGACCCAGACAUGCAGGGUGCAUCUGCCCAGCACAUGUCUAUGGAAAGACAGAUGUCUAUGGGAUCCAGUAUGAUGAGCGUCCAAGGUCCCCUCCACAACACUUCCUGCUCUUCACCUCAGAGGGCUAAAACUAUGGGUCACCCCACCAACACCAUCACCAACAC